rnacentral:rRNA from 1 species
GACGAAGGUGGCGAGCGUUGUUCGGUGUUACUGGGCUUAAAGCGUGUGUAGGCGGAAAGGAAAGCGUCUUGUGAAAUCCCUCGGCUUAACCGAGGAAUUGCUUGGCGAACUGCUUUUCUUGAGGCAGGCAGGGGCCAGUGGAACUCUUGGUGGAGCGGUGGAAUGCGUAGAUAUCAAGAGGAACGCCAGCGGUGAAAACGGCUGGCUGGGCCUGCCCUGACGCUCAGACACGAAAGCGUGGGGAGCAAACGGGAUUAGAUACCCCCGUA